AUCAUGGCUACAGAACGAACGCUGGCGGCAUGCCUAACACAUGCAAGUCGAACGAGACCUUCGGGUCUAGUGGCGCACGGGUGCGUAACGCGUGGGAAUCUGCCCUUAGGUUCGGAAUAACUUCGGGAAACUGAAGCUAAUACCGGAUGAUGACGUAAGUCCAAAGAUUUAUCGCCUAAGGAUGAGCCCGCGUUGGAUUAGCUAGUUGGUGAGGUAAAGGCUCACCAAGGCGACGAUCCAUAGCUGGUCUGAGAGGAUGAUCAGCCACACUGGGACUGAGACACGGCCCAGACUCCUACGGGAGGCAGCAGUGGGGAAUAUUGGACAAUGGGCGAAAGCCUGAUCCAGCAAUGCCGCGUGAGUGAUGAAGGCCUUCGGGUUAUAAAGCUCUUUUACUCGGGACGAUAAUGACGGUACCGAGAGAAUAAGCCCCGGCUAACUCCGUG
rnacentral:rRNA from 1 species